AUUUUAUCAAGCUACAUAACAGUAGUCGUUUGUUUCAUCCAAACGUUAUUGGUGAUAGUUACUACUGAGACGUAGACUGUAACAGAAAGCAUUCAGGACAAACACUUUUAAUUGUGACAAUAUACGAUUCAAGUAAUUUUUUGUAUAUCGAAAAAUGGCAGCAGGACUUGUACUAUUAUUAGGUGCUAUCGCGUUUACCGCAUUUUGGACUACAAAAUUUUUAGUGGACAUCUAUUCUGCGUCAAAAACGAAAAAUGCUUUAAUACAAAAUUUUACAUUGUAUUCAACAACACCUAAGCUAUUAGGAGAAUUUGUUGAAUACAUUGAAUGAUUGAACAAGAUACAGAUUUCUGUUAACCGGAGUUCUAAUAUUUGCCCUAUAUUUGAUAACAGAAAAAGUAAGAAUUGAAACUUCUAAAUUAACCGAAGAUGAUUACAGCGAUAGUUCUCAAGUAAUUGGAAGAUGGAAUAGUAAUAAUUCAAGUGAAUUUACGACAUAAAUAAGUUUUAUUAUUUUAAUGACAAAAAGUGUGUGUGUCUCCUCCGACUCGCGACUGAAGUUUACAACAAUAAAAGGAUAAAAUUAAGACAUCAA